GACGUAGGGCGCGAGCGUUGUCCGGAUUUAUUGGGCGUAAAGCGCGCGUAGGCGGUUACUUAAGUCGGAUGUGAAAGCCCUCGGCUUAACUGAGGAAGUGCACCCGAAACUGAGUAGCUAGAGUACGAAAGAGGGUCGCGGAAUUCCCGGUGUAGAGGUGAAAUUCGUAGAUAUCGGGAGGAACACCGGUGGCGAAGGCGGCGACCUGGGUCGAGACUGACGCUGAGGCGCGAAAGCGUGGGGAGCAAACAGG
rnacentral:rRNA from 1 species